rnacentral:rRNA from 1 species
AGUGUAGGCGGCUACUUAAGUCGGAUGUGAAAGCCCCGGGCUCAACCUGGGAAUCGCAUUCGAUACUGGGUAGCUAGAGUUUGGUAGAGGUAAGUGGAAUUCCAGGUGUAGCGGUGAAAUGCGUAGAUAUCUGGAGGAACAUCAGUGGCGAAGGCGGCUUACUGGACCAAAACUGACGCUGAGGCUCGAAAGCGUGGGGAGCAAACAGGAUUAGAUACCCUGGUAGUCC